rnacentral:rRNA from 1 species
UUGAAAGCACUUUUAGGGGGGAGGAAGGCGCUCGACCUCAUACGUCGGAGGAUUGACUUAACCCAGAGAAAAAGCACCGGCUAACUCUGUGCCAGCAGCCGCGGUAAUA